CCCUUAGAUGUUCUGGGCCGCACGCGCGCUACACUGAUGCAUUCAACGAGUGUACCUUGGCCGAGAGGCCUGGGCAAUCUUUUGAACGUGCAUCGUGAUAGGGAUAGAUUAUUGCAAUUAUUAAUCUUGAACGAGGAAUUCCUAGUAAACGCAGAUCAUCAAUCUGCAUUGAUUACGUCCCUGCCCUUUGUACACACCGCCCGUCGCACCAACCGAUUGGAUGGUCCGGUGAAGCCUCGGGAUUGUGGCGGUUGCCUUUAUUGGUGGCCGCCGCGAGAACUUGUCUAAACCUUAUCAUCUAGAGGAAGGUGAAGUCGUAACA
rnacentral:rRNA from 1 species